rnacentral:rRNA from 1 species
GACAGAGGAUGCAAGCGUUAUCCGGAAUGAUUGGGCGUAAAGCGUCUGUAGGUGGCUUUUUAAGUCCGCCGUCAAAUCCCAGGGCUCAACCCUGGACAGGCGGUGGAAACUACCAAGCUGGAGUACGGUAGGGGCAGAGGGAAUUUCCGGUGGAGCGGUGGAAUGCGCAGAUAUCAGGAGGAACACCGAUGGCGAAGGCAGGUCACUGGGCCGCAACUGACGCUGAGGAGCGAAAGCAUGGGGAGCGAACAGG